rnacentral:tRNA from 1 species
GGUAGGCUGGCUCAUUUGGUUAAGGCACCACAUUAUGAUGUAUGGACGAGCCCCACAGCUUUGGAUCGAAUCCAGACCAUACCA